rnacentral:tRNA from 1 species
GCAGCCGUGGCCUAAUGGCAGGGCACCAGCUUCCCAAGCUGGGGGUGCGGGUUCGAUUCCCGUCGGCUGCUCCA